UACGGGGGGGGGUAAGCGUUGUUCGGAAUUACUGGGCGUAAAGGGCUCGUAGGCGGCCAACUAAGUCAGGCGUGAAAUCCCUCAGCUUAACUGGGGAACUGCGUCUGAUACUGGAUGGCUUGGAUUCGGGAGAGGAAUGCGGAAUUCCAGGUGUAGCGGUGAAAUGCGUAGAUAUCUGGAGGAACACCGGUGGCGAAGGCGGCAUUCUGGACCGACAUUGACGCUGAGGAGCGAAAGCCAGGGGAGCAAACGGG
rnacentral:rRNA from 1 species